UACGAAGGGGGCUAGCGUUACUCGGAAUUACUGGGCGUAAAGCGUGCGCAGGCGGUGAUGUAAGACAGGUGUGAAAUCCCCGGGCUUAACCUGGGAACUGCGCUUGUUACUGGCAGGCUUGAGUGUGGCAGAGGGGGGUGGAAUUCCACGUGUAGCAGUGAAAUGCGUAGAGAUGUGGAGGAACACCGAUGGCGAAGGCAGCCCCCUGGGCUAACACUGACGCUCAUGCACGAAAGCGUGGGGAGCAAACAGG
rnacentral:rRNA from 1 species